rnacentral:lncRNA from 1 species
UGCACUGCCUGCUGGGAGGCUGGUGCUGCCUGGUGUCUCCAUGGCGACGCUGACAUCACGGGGCCGGCUGCAGUAGGGCCCCAGGGGAGGCUCCCAGUGUUCUGGGGAGGAGGCCGGGUGGGUGGGCCUGCCUGCCCUGGGUCUGGGGGGGUCCUGACCCUGCCUGUCCCCACCUUGCCCAGGGCCCGUCUGAGACGCUGUCUCCUGACCCAUAACAGAGAGGGCAGUCUUCACCCGGGACUGACUGUGAUCAUGGAUAAGAUACAGGGAGGGCUGUCGUGAAGACCAUUCUGGUGACUUCCAGGGAAAGGCAGGGGCGGCCUGCACCCCUGGACUGCCUGGGCCUGUGAUACAAAAUCUCACUACGUAGCCCAGGCUGGCCUGGAACUCUCAGUGAUUCUCCCACCUCAGCCUCCUGAAUGCUAAGAUGACAGAUUUCUGUUGGACAUGGGCUCUGCGUAGAUCUGCACUGGACAGCCAAAGUUGAAGCAGAGGUGGAGGGGGCGGGAAGCUCCCAGUCCCUCUGAAAUCUGGCCUCGGGCGAUAACUGCAUUGCACAAAACACUUCCCCACCUCUGCCUCCUAACUGAGAAAAAGUGGUCAACAGUGAAAGACUCCAGAAACCCACAGAUUUCGAAGUACGAGCGCCCGCGCUGAGAGUUCGCUGUUUUAAUCAAAUAAAACCCACAACAAAGUUAAUCUGACACAUAGUUAAUGAGAUAAUCAUUG